CUCUCUCACACACACACACACACACACACACACACACACACACACACACACACACACACACACACACACACACACACACGACACUGAUCAGUACAGUACUAAGAAUAUCCACAGCACAUAGUUCUAAUUACUACUCUUCUAUCAGCAUUCAAACUUCCUAUUGUAAGUCUUUGUGCACUUAUGUAUACCAGCAACAGCUCCUGUAUGAAAUCAUGUGCUCAUCUCUGAUGCAGUCAUCAUGUGUUAUACUUGCCACAUUUUACCUUUUACUUACCACCAGCAGAUUGGACUUAGUCUCAUAUAAAACUUUAGCGUCACUUUACACAGCCCUUUCAUCUAUAACAUUAAACUUAGCCAGUUCGGUAUGGAUGACCAUGAGCACGUCUUUGCCAGUAGAAAGGCAAAAAGUGACUAUAUUUCAGACCUCUGUCUCAGGUGAAAUAAACAAUUCAGGCUGUCACUCUCAUCCCAUGACCUGUUCUUAAUGACUUAAUGCACUGUUAGUGCAAGGUACAGUUAAGGUCCAAAGUUGACCAUGAGUGGGCCAGAACAGAUCCUUAAGUGGGCUCACGAGCCAUAAGUUUGACACUUGUGAUCUACAGAAUAAUGUAACACAAAAUCAUUGGAUGUUGAAUGCCAAGAUGAUCCUACAACGAUCCUACAAUGUAGCUUGCCAUCGCCAGUGUGUGAAUGUGUGUGUGAAUGGGUGAAUGACUGAAUGUAGUGUGAAGCGCUUUGGGGUCCUUAGGGACUAGAAAAGCGCUAUACAAAUGCAGGCCAUUUACCAUUUACACUGCUUCAAUAAUGUUGAGGUCCAGCAUCUGGGUAGACAAAUCCAAGACUCCUUUUUUUUUUUUUUUUUUUUUUUUUUUAAAUUUUUUAUUCUUUUUAUUUUAUUUUUAUUUUUUGGGGGGGAUGCUUUUCGCAUUUCUUAAGGACAUGAUAUUGUUUAUCUGCUUUUCAGGGCUGCAACUUCUUCUUUUUGCCUCCUAUUGUUCAGUUUCCUCAACAUUCCAACAUUCAACCAAAACAUUACUUUGAAAUUGGUCAGGUACAAGGCCUGGACUAAAAAUAAGUGAGAAAACAGUCGAUGACUGACCUUCAAAACCUUCAAAAAACUAUUGCUCAAUAUCAAUUUAAAAAAUAUGAAUAAAGUCGGAUUCUUUGUAAGCAAAGUUUUCUUUUUCCAUCAUGUCUUUAUUCACAUCACAUCAUCUGUCACAGUUGUAAAGGGCUGCUUGAAAAUGAAAAAAAUAAAUCAUAAUCUAAGUUACAUUUAGAUGCCAAUUAUUUAACAUAAUUAAUCAUUAACUUUAUAAACAAUAUGAAUUUAAUGAAAUCAAAAACACCAAUUUCUACUUGGGUUUUUGGAACUUAAUUGUGUAGACAGUGAGGCACUUUUUCCUGUGCUCACUGCCUGAUAAAACAGAUCUCCAAGCAGAAAUAAACACCAGAAGAAAAGAAAGAAAAUUUCAGCAUAUUCU
ensembl:lncRNA